AGAUUGAACGCUGGCGGCAGGCCUAACACAUGCAAGUCGAGCGGUAGAGAGAAGCUUGCUUCUCUUGAGAGCGGCGGACGGGUGAGUAAUGCCUAGGAAUCUGCCUGGUAGUGGGGGAUAACGUUCGGAAACGGACGCUAAUACCGCAUACGUCCUACGGGAGAAAGCAGGGGACCUUCGGGCCUUGCGCUAUCAGAUGAGCCUAGGUCGGAUUAGCUAGUUGGUGAGGUAAUGGCUCACCAAGGCGACGAUCCGUAACUGGUCUGAGAGGAUGAUCAGUCACACUGGAACUGAGACACGGUCCAGACUCCUACGGGAGGCAGCAGUGGGGAAUAUUGGACAAUGGGCGAAAGCCUGAUCCAGCCAUGCCGCGUGUGUGAAGAAGGUCUUCGGAUUGUAAAGCACUUUAAGUUGGGAGGAAGGGCAGUUACCUAAUACGUAUCUGUUUUGACGUUACCGACAGAAUAAGCACCGGCUAACUCUGUGCCAGCAGCCGCGGUAAUACAGAGGGUGCAAGCGUUAAUCGGAAUUACUGGGCGUAAAGCGCGCGUAGGUGGUUUGUUAAGUUGGAUGUGAAAUCCCCGGGCUCAACCUGGGAACUGCAUUCAAAACUGACUGACUAGAGUAUGGUAGAGGGUGGUGGAAUUUCCUGUGUAGCGGUGAAAUGCGUAGAUAUAGGAAGGAACACCAGUGGCGAAGGCGACCACCUGGACUAAUACUGACACUGAGGUGCGAAAGCGUGGGGAGCAAACAGGAUUAGAUACCCUGGUAGUCCACGCCGUAAACGAUGUCAACUAGCCGUUGGAAGCCUUGAGCUUUUAGUGGCGC
rnacentral:rRNA from 1 species